UCGGGAAAUAUCGAAUAUGGUAAUAAAUUUAAAUUACCACCAGGUAUGGUAAGGCAACCACCCUUUCUCAACCCUCUCCUCUACCAUCCCGUCGCUCUGCAUCCCAGUUCCUGCCCUUCUUCGUUGCCGCUGCCGCAUGGACCCUUUCGAAAUGCUACCAGAGACAGGAAGGUGGAGGAUCCGGUGAAGACGACCACUCGAAAUAUCAACUCGGCGACACGACAGGCUCGCCGCCUCAAACAGAAGGGUAAAUGAGCCAAUACUCGAAAAGAAAUGCGGCAACGGUGUAGGGGGCUGGCGGGGCUUGGGACAUGGGGUGUCAUCGACGCCCAUUCAGACGCCGUCCUGGUCGGACCAAUACAAGCCUCCCUACUUCUACGCGGCCGAGCAGUUCGGCGAGCAGUCCCCAGCAUCCGCCACCAGGCACGUGCCUUAUUGUGUUGACGUCAACGAUGUGCCUCUCCUUUUCUUCUAGUGUGUCGCCGCAAUUUGUCCGGUCGCGGCCGACAGGCAUGGAGCAGCUCGGUACACGACUAGAUGAUCCACAACGAAGGGGUGGGUGGAGGCUUGUAUGAGGACGAGCAGAUGGAUGACUCGGGGUUGGAGGAGCACGCAUAGCAGUCAGAAGUGUACACAUAGUCAGGCAUGUACACCUAGUCGGGCACGUAUAUUGGCCAGACGUAUUCAUACAACGACAAGCAGAGCAGGACGGUGACGGUGGACUUUGAUCCGGACGAAUUUGCGGCCAAUCCAAAGAAAAAGGGUAGAGAAGAAAGCUUCAACAUGCAGGGGGGCGAGUUAUUGGGCGAUGCAUGGUUGGCCACUAGCAUCGAUCUGAUCCAGGGCACAUAGCAAAAAGGUGCAACAUUUUGGGCCAACAUUCAUGUUUGAUUCCAUGAGCACAAGCAUUUCAAUCCCUACUUCCACAAACACAUCAACAACCGUGGGAGGAAGUCACUCAACUAUCGAUGGUACUCCAUCUAAGAGGUCGUGUCCAAGUAUUGUGGCAUUUGAAACAACUAAUCGUUCGAUGGCCAAGUGGUGCGCAAAUCACCGAGCAAGUAAGUUGUUUAUGUGUUAGUCAUUUUGACCGGAUAUGCAACUUGUGGGUCAGAUAUGCUCUAUGUGUUGGUCAUUUGGCUGGAUAUGCAACUUGUUGGCCGGGUAUGCAACUUGAUGACAAUGUUGUUUCUUUCUAGCCUUCUCGUGCAUGCAACUUGUUAUUGAAGGUGGAGAAGAGAAACUUCGGCCUUAUGCAUUGUUGGUUGAAGUUGAGUGGAGUAUAUUCAUUGCCAACACCGUCAAGACCGUCGGCGACGGCUCCGAGGAAAAGCUGGGUUUUCCAACCGACCCAACAAAAGAGCCACCCAAGAAGAUUAGAAGAGGGUUUCGGGGAAAGAACUAGAGGGAGGAGAAGAGAGAAGGGGUGGCGGCCAAGAUGAUGGAGAGGUUUGAGGACAUCUUGAUGAAGAAGGAGGAGGCAUGUGUCAAGCACUAUGACGUCAAGGAGGAAAAAAAGGCCGAGAGGUUUAACAUGUUCAUGACGGCGACCAAGAAGAAUCUCAAACUCGAAGAGAAGACCAUACUCGAAGAGAAGAAGGUUGAGAUCGCGACUGCUUUGGAGGAUUCGAAGAGGUUGACCUUGAAGAUGGACGACUUGAAUGAAGAUGCAAGGAUGAUCAUGCAAGCCGUACAUGUUAGGAUGUUGAAGUGCUUCGCAACCGAGCUUGAGACGUCAGAGAAGGAGGCGACUAGUGAGGAGGAGCCGACGACAGAGUGAGCCUGGAGUCUUAGAUAGCUAGUCCGGCAGGGCAAAAAAAUCCUUUUAGCACGGACUGCCGGGCUGAGAUACUUUUGUGUCUGUCAAAGCUAUGGACGCCGAUCUCUUUUUUUGUGAUUGGCCGUUGUACAUUUGAAUGUUAAAUUAGCCGGAUCUAGACAGACAUGUAGGGGAUGCGGUGCGGUUGGAUGACCAGCUCUCUUAGGGAAACACCAACGCACGACCCCAAACGGACCUUCGUUUUGUUUGGAUUUCAUCCAUUUGGGGCGGCAAAACGGACGCCCGUGUCUGUUUUUGCCCAUUCGCCGGACGUUGUCCCUAACGCGCGGCCGCAUUGCAUCUUGUCCUCAUCGCAUACGAACAUUUUAAAAAUGAAAAACAGGCCGCAAAUGUUAAAACACACACAUAAAACAUAAUUAAAUGUUAACUUUAUGUUCAAACUAGUCCCGGGCGCACAUUUAAACAUAACUUAAACUUAACAAUUUAAGAAAAAGAUAGAUAGACGUCGCCGACGUGGUCGUCUUGGAUGCCCCUGUCCUCGUCUUUGAUCCCGAUGUCAUCUUCACACGUCGCCAUCAUCGUCGUUGUCCAUGGUGAAGUCGACAUAUGGUGGAGGCUGCCAAAGGUGGGCCGAUGGCCCGUGCUAGGGCGGACGCGCCUGCACCACCUCCUCCCAUGGCUCUAGCUCCUUCUCUGGUGACCGUGGCGACAUGGCUGACCAUUGCCUGACACCCACCGCGUCGGCCUUCUCUGGCGUCGUGGACGACGAACUCCACUGUUGGCCCACCAAGCAUCGGUUCCACGCGGCGAUGGGCGGCUCCUACACCACCUCCUCCUGAACCUGUUCCCUGACGGCCAUGUCCAUCUAUGGGAUGGCGAAGUCAUCGGCUGUAGAGAGGGCCACCUGGGUUUCGAGGCCCUCCCAUUGGCGGUCGUCAUAGGUGUUAAUGGAGUCUUUCAUGACCUGCCUCAUGAGCUCGACUCCUCCUCGGUCAUGGGAUGUGGUGGUGGCGGGGACGGCGUUGGCGUGAGGCCACGCACAUGCGUACACCCAGGCGUUUGGGGCAGACUCUGAGCACGAGUAGGACGCGGUCGCCACAAGCUCGGAGGACGACCGACAAAAAAGGAUUGUUGCCGCAGGUCGUGCUCGUCACAGAGCCACGUAUCCCACAUCGGCGAAUCUACUGCGUAUCCGCGGUCGUAGAGCAGAUCCGGUGGCAGGCGGGCGUGGUGACGGCUGAUCUCCUCACGGCGGACGCGGCCGCUCACUGGCACCGGUGGGAUUGACACCCGAUCUGCGGAGAGAUGUCAAUUGUUGGGGAGGUGGGGAUCUCCCCGCGGGAGUGGCGUUGCCGUCUUCCAAUAGCGUCGGCAGAUGUCGGUGCCGACGUAGGGUCGUCUGCGCUACGGGGCGGCCGACGGCGCUAUGGAAAAAGCGGGUGGUGAGGGCGACGCAGACUUUGUGGAGUGGCGGCGACCGGUGGAGGAGUCAGCCUCAUGGUCGUGCUUCCCCUUGCUGGUCCAAUGCCAGCCCAUGGCGCCGGCGAGGAGGUGGAUGAGAGGGAUACGUCGGCGGCUAGGGUUUGUUGACUCCUGUCGGGGCUCGAGGAGGCAGUCGGGCUCGAAAAUGGAAGAUGUGGACUUGCCGGUCCACGAUUUCCACAUUAAGAAGGACGAUGACCGUGCAGUUGGGUGGCUGACAGUUGUGGCCCGCCGCGCGUGCGCAAUUAUUUUGGGUGGUGGAGGUAGGUGGACAGCCGCCACGCGUCCUCGAGGUGGACGAGAAGCAAACACGUGCCCGUCCGUUCGCUGUCUGUCUAGACGCAAACCAGAAGCAAAUUUGCUCUGGAAAUGGGACGGCCCGGACGUGAAACAUACAAUAUUUACGGAUGCGGCCGCGCGUUGGACCGCGACGUCUGUCGUCUGAGACCAAACAGACACACAUGGAUCAGAUGGGGGCGUUUAGAGCAACUUCAACGCACCGAUCCAAACGGACGCACGCUUUAUCUGUCUUUUGUCUGUUUGGGUUGGCCGCCCGCUCGACGUCCGCCCUCUUUUGAUUUGGGUUGGCUGUGCACCCAACGCGCGCGACCCAUUUCAUGUCAACGCAUAAAUUUUAAAAGGCCCGCGACCAUAGCUCAUGCUAUGCCAUCGCCCAAAGUUCAUGCCGACGCCAUGCCAGCGGCCUUCAUACAAUGCCAGCCUCCAAAAAAAAAUCCACCACACAGUUUAUGUUGGCGUACUUGCCAGCGGCCGGCACACAUGCCAGCACACAAAAGGGGCGGGAAUUCGACCACGCCAUCUCAGCCGUGGUCAUGCCAGCACACUUGCCGGCAUAAAAAAAGGAUGGCGUUUUCCGCCAUAGAUCAUGAAUUUGAGCAUGACGGCCUGCAUCUUCUCAAACUAUGGCCUCCCUUCCGUCCGCCGCGUGCCUCCUGUCCUUCCGUUUUGUUGGCUGCACGACCCUCUCCUCGGGCGUCAGCUUCUUCUUCUUGGGCGGCGCCGCGGUCUUGCAGGGCGCGCGGUGAUUUCCUUUCGCGGAGGCGACAGAGGCGAGGUCGGACGAGGCGAGGCCGGCAGCGGCAUCGAGGGUCGAGGCAUCGUCGACCAUGGCUGGGAGCGCGAGCGGGCGGGAGAGUUUUGAGAAAGUGGAGGAAAAUGGUGGUUGCUGUGCCAUCGACUGGCGGGCCAGGGCGAGGAGUAGGCGCGCGUCGCGCGCGUCCGUUUCGUGUCCGCAUCGAUGCAAAUAUGACUCAAAUUUGGGUCGGGAAUGGUUCGGCAGGCGGACGAAAAGCGAACGCGUCCGUUUGGGUUGGCGUGUCGGGUCGACUUUUCUGUCCGUAGCGAUCCAAACAGACGCGCGCGAACGAAAUGGGUCGGCGCGUUGAAAUUGCUCCAGAUCCAAAACGCGGCUCUCUCUUAGUUGUUGCCCUUAUUCAUGUCAGGUCAGUCCGCUCACUAUGCAAGAGGAUGUUACACAAUUACACUGAAAUCUGAUUUCUUCUUUUUCUAUCUGCGCAAGCAUUUUUAGUAAGUUGGUACCUCUGGUUUGAAUAGUGCGUAGUUUUUUUUUUUUGCGAGGUUUAAGAGUAUAUUCUACCAGUACAUUAAGUGACUUUCCUUUGAAAUUGAGCCAGUAAGUAGAAAUCGAAAGUAAACUAAAAAAUGAUGCGCAUCUUCAUUAUUUGCGACAGGCAUUCUAGAAGAUGCUCGAUUUCGUCCGAAUAAUUAUGUGGAAAAUAAAUAAGUAAAGCACCGCCCCCAGUAAAUGCCCCCAAUCCCACCCCCACCCCCUCUCGGCUUGGGGCUUCUCACUUCACCACCGCUCGCGUCGUCCCCCGCUGGCGAUUUCGUCUGCCCGUUGCCCCCUCCGAGUUCGUCGCCGUCGCCGUCGCCCCCUGCUGGCGAGUUAGUCGCCGUCGCCACCUCCAAACUUGUCUCCAUCGCCGUCGCUCCUUCAGCGCGCCUGCCGCUGCCACUUGAUCUGGCUAUGGAGCAUCUUCAGGACAUGGCUUCUGUCAUGUAUGAUGAUAUACCACCAGAUGCUUUAAUGCCAAAGUCCCACUACAUGUUUUUAAGUACCCUGACAACGAGGUUAUCCCGUUCUCAUGGAGCGUGAGAACUCAGGAAGGAGGCUCUACUAAAUGGAUCAGGGCUUCAAAAUUUGACCCUUUUGUCGCUAGUUGCAGAACUUAUGGACGGACAGAAGCUGCCCCUAUAUUGCCUUCUUCUCUUCAUGUCACGGUGAUGGUGUAUAUGCCUCUUCAUGAUGCCUAUCAACUGCAUGGGCUUAUGCAGGAUUCAGAUAUAUUACCUGUUGGGAAGUUGACGGUUGAUGCUCAACCUCAAGUCGAACCAUAUGUACUGCCAAUGGAAGUGGAGAUGCAAUGCCCUGAUGAGAAGGUGGGAUACAUUCAACCUAAUGCUGAGCAUGAUCUGAGUAUCGGUUUCACAGUUGUCAACUAUAACCUUCUCUGGUCCAAGGCAAAUCAAUACUUACAGAGGUUCAUCAAUGACAUUGAUAUAUGCACCGAUGUACUUGCUGGUAGACCAUCACCAGAUCUUGAAAGUUUGGAGGCUGCUUUGGAUGAUGCUAAAAAGAUGCUUAUCUUUAUCAUGUACAAUAGGAACAUUCCAGAGGCACACAACGUCUUACUGGAAAUGUUUCCUGAAGUACACAAUACUGUUCACUUGGACUGUCAACAUUGCCAACACCCAGAUGCUGCUGUUGUGCAUGAAGAUUCCCCUGAGACUGUUGCGAGGCUGAAUGAAGCACUUGAAAAUCUCGGAUAUCAAGAUUAUGAUCUCCAUCACUCUGUCGAAGCUGCACAGUAUAAUCUGAUGGCUGUUAAGGGUAGACUGGAAUAUGGCAAACACUACCAAAGUGCGUCAGUUGCUUUUGCACUUGCAAGGAAAGAGUUUAGUGAUGCUCUGAAGCCCAUCAUCCACAAUAUGACAAUGGCCGUGAAGAAGCUGACGUUAAUGGGAGUCCCAAGUGAUGGUGAAGAUGGGCUUUUCGAACUGAACUGAGCCUAGUGUCAAGCAAACAUGAGUAGAUGACCACUGAAGGAGGUGUAUCUGAAUGGGUUGUGUCCCAUUUCAUAUUGUCUGCAGUUUUGUUCUCAUUUUAAAUCAGUAAUAACAGAGUUGGCAGCCAUAAGAGAAUUGAAUCACAAUGUACUUCCUCUAUCAAAAUAUAAGAUGUUUUUUGACUGUAAAAAAACGUCUUAUAUUUUGAUAUGCAGGUUGUAGUUCCGGAACAAAUACAAGGGCCUCUUGAUACAUGUGCUGGUAGUAAUUUUGCAGUUCCUUAUCAUGUUCGUAGGGAGUUCUUAAUGCAAACGGAAGUGUAUGGUAGUCGUUUCACAGUUCUAGCAUGCUUUAGGAAGCAAAAUAGUUCUUACUGCAGUUCUCAUCAAACUUAAAAUUUCAUGUACUUUCAUAUCAUAUUAUGUAUGAGACUAGUAAGUGGUAAGAAUCAUUUUUUUUCCUUUU